CAAAAAAUUGGAACAUUUCCUUUGUUGAGGAUUCCAAUCGACCUAAUUCCACGCUUUUAUGCUUAGAGCGGCUACCUUCAAGCAUCAUUGUAAAUUGUUCUUCUCGAAGCAGCCUUCCAAUUCCAAUGACUUUGAUCAUCAAUAUCGGUACUUCCAUCCAGAUAACCAUGAGUUUUUCAUGGCUAUCGGAAAAUACGACUAUGUUAACGACAUCACUCCUGCCAAGGAAUCCUAGGACAUUGUUGUUCGAGUUGUUCGUUUAUGAUUUGUACCAGAUAUGAAUUCCAAACAAAAUUUCUAUGCAAUAGAAAUGGUUUUGAUGGAUGAACAGAAUGAAACUUGAAUGCACGCUUUUUGGAACUUUUGUUGAUAGCCUUGAUGCGUUCCUCCAAACUGGAUACACUAGAAAAGUUGUUGUGCUACCUGAAUAUCUAAAGAUCAAGAUGUAUAAUGGGAUAGUCCAAUUGCAGAAUGCAAUGAACUGUACGAAUCUAAUGUCAACCCAGAAAUCCCUGAGGCAAAUACUUCAAAAUCCAGUGAUAACAUUGGAUUAGAUAGAAAUACUCCAACAAGUCUUCCGCUCUGAGAAUUUUUUUGGCUACUGAACAUGUAAUGAUAAUAAACACACUGGUGUUGGUUCUGGCACGAUAUUGUUACAGUGUUUGCCAAAAAUUUAUUGGUUAUGUCAUGAUAUUGUUCCAGUAUUUGCCUGUUAUCUUUUCUCAGGCUUAAAUGCUGUUUUAGGUGGUUCAUUUAGCAUAAGUUGUGAUGUUAUAUCCGCCCUUAGUAACAUAAAUUUGUCUCUUUGAUAGCACUGUGUGCUUUGUUUCUUUAUAUAUAUGGCUUUUUAUUGGAAGUACUGUAAUUAGUAGCUUGAUAAUUAGUUGCAGGAUGUGGACAAGCAUGGAUAUAUAACAAAAGGUAUAAAUUGAAGGGUGUGAAAGUUUCAGACUGUUCUUGAUUUAGGUAUUUGUGGACUAUAAUUGAAUAAUCAUAUUGUUUGGCCUAAAUUUAAUAUUGUUAUGAUGUCAGA